rnacentral:rRNA from 1 species
UACAGAGGGUGCAAGCGUUGUUCGGAAUCAUUGGGCGUAAAGGGCGUGUAGGCGGUUUGCUAAGUCAUGUGUGAAAGCCCUCGGCUUAACCGAGGAACGACGCAUGAAACUGGCAAGCUAGAGUACCAAAGAGGAGAGUGGAAUUCCUGGUGUAGCGGUGAAAUGCGCAGAUAUCAGGAAGAACACCCGUGGCUAAGGCGGCUCUCUAGUACGGUACUGACGCUGAGACGCGAAAGCGUGGGGAGCGAACAGG